rnacentral:sRNA from 1 species
GAAUUCCUCGGUUAUAUUGUUACAAAGCUAGGAAUUGAGGCAAAUCCAAACCAAAUUAACGCCUUUCUCAAUAUGCCAUCUCCAAGAAAUUUCAAGGAAGUACAGCGGUUAACCGGUCGGAUUGCGGCAUUGAACUGUUUCAUUUCAAGAUCAACCGAUAAAUCAUUGCCUCUCUAUCAAAUUUUAAAAGGGAACAA